rnacentral:lncRNA from 1 species
CGUGUACAGUAUGAUGGGUACCUGAAGUCAUCAUACCUACCGAAAGAAGGCAUCCUCAUCUUACACUGAGACAACACUGAAUGGAAACAGGACUUGGAAGAUGUGACUCCUUACCCGGGGAGAUGUAAUCUGUAAAGGCUCCAUCUUGUUCUGUUCUUCCCAAAGCACCACGACCGCCACACAGCUGCCAGAACACUGGGGGCUUCAGAGCCAUCCUCCUUCUGUACUGACUCCAGCCCUGUGUGGUUAGUUUUGCUUUGCCCUGGAUGGGACUGCUUAGUCGGCAAAGACCUGGAUGCCUGAAAAAGGAAGGGAAGUUCUGAGUCUGGCAAUAAAAGGACCAGAGGAAGAUGAUGGUGAAGUCCAGAAGUAACACAAAAAGACUUCUGGAAAAAAAAGGGCUGGAAGAGUGGUCGCUGAAAGUCAUAGCACUGUACACCAAACAAACAUACGACAAAAACCAUAAAACAAAAACCAUCAUCACCAUCACCAUCAACAACAACAAAUACAGACAGUGGAGCUACAUUAUUCUCAUUUUUAAAAGAAGACAAAUACUGCAAAGCACAGCAUAGAAACUGAUGCUGCUCUAACUCUGGGAGUUUGGCUGAUAUGUGAGACCUGGCUCUCUCGGGAUGACAUGGAAGGUGACCCUCUCAGGCUCUGCCUACUACCCACCAGUCUUCUGCCCCCAUCUCUAGCCUCCUUCCUGCCCUCUCUUGUGAGCCAAGCGUGCACAGAUCGCAGAGAUGUGGCAGACCGAAUGGCCCAUCACUCAGAAGUCAUGUGCACAGCCGUGGAGACCCAGUGUGGAGAAUCACUUCUGCAGGGACACAGAAAUGCGCUGCCCAGGGCGAGACAGAGGCUGGACAGGAGACUUGCCUCAGAGACAGCUGCACCAAAUCUGCUGCCACCGCUGUACACACUGGGCAUUGAGCUCGGUUUGAGAGAGGCCCUACAGCUAAAACUGGAGUAGCCCUGGCCCAGGAGCACAGAGACUGCCUUUCUCCCUACAACCCCUGUUUUCAUCGAGCCACAUAGUGAAAAGCCUUCAGUGCUAUUCCACACUGCUUACCUUUGAUACUGUUUGAUGUUUCUUUCAGCAGCUAGAUGCACUUUUAACUAAUAACAGCUAAAACACUUGAUUUCUUUUCUAUCUCUUCAGAAUUAUAGGUAACACUGCAAAGGUUAUUGCUCAUGGAUCUUUUUUUUUUUUUAACUAGGGUUACCCGAUAAAUUACUUUACUGAAGGAAAUGGUCCAAGGC